UACAGAGGGUGCGAGCGUUGUUCGGAAUUAUUGGGCGUAAAGGGUGCGUAGGCGGCGCGGUAAGUCGGGUGUGAAAUCUCGGGGCUUAACUCCGAAACUGCAUUCGAUACUGCCGUGCUUGAGGACUGGAGAGGAGACUGGAAUUUACGGUGUAGCGGUGAAAUGCGUAGAUAUCGUAAGGAAGACCAGUGGCGAAGGCGGGUCUCUGGACAGUUCCUGACGCUGAGGCACGAAGGCCAGGGGAGCAAACGGG
rnacentral:rRNA from 1 species